ACAUUUGGCCCUCCAGAUUUGCUGGAAGGGAACAACAGGCAAGCUCUCAUUUAAGCAGAUGGAAGCAACAGCAACAAUGAUCCGCUGUGCUGUACGCAAAAACCAUGUGGCAAAGCAAGCAACAGAUGUCGACAUUGACAAACAUAUCAUGAAGUGGUUCCAUUUGGGCUCAGACAACACCCGCAGGGGAAGUCGCCAGAGUCGAGCACAGGCUCCGAACAUAGAGGCUGAGGAUGACUGAGGAUAGCUAAUGACGACGACUGUGAUGAUUGUUUUUUUUUGUUUGUUUUUUUUUACUUUAAAUGUGCAUACAGUUGUGGAAAUUCAUAAAACAGUUGAACAGAGAAAUGUUUUUUUAAAAAUAGUUUGCAAUGUGCGUUGUGGAAAUGCAUUAAACAGUUCAAAAGAGAUGUUUUUUUUAAAAAUGGUUUACAAUGUGCAUACUGUUGUGGAAAUGCAUAAAAUGCAAAGGUUCAAAAGAGAAAUCAUUUCUUUAAAAAAAAUACAAUUUGUAAUCUUGACCUUCGUUAUUGCUGCAACAGUGUUAAAAGGAUGGUUCAACAUUUUGGCAAUUUGGCUUAUUGCCAUUAUCCCUAGUCUCCCUGAACUAUGGCGUUAAAAAGUGCCGUUAACUGUGUCUUUAAAUGUGCAUGCUGUUGUGAAAACUGAAAACAGGUUUAAUAAAGGGCGGCUGC